rnacentral:rRNA from 1 species
ACAGUCGAGACUGAGAGGUCGAUCGACCACNUUGGGUAUGAAAAAAGCCCAAGGCGAACAGCACAGCAGUGAGGAAUAUUGGUCAAUGGUCUAACGACUGAACCAGCAAUUUGGAAGAACGUAUAAUAAAUAAAUUAUUUAAAGUUCUAGAUAAAAUAUUUAUAAUGACUAUUUUUUAUCUAUAAGUCUUGGCCAAAUUACGUGCCAGCAGUCGCGGUAAUACCUAAAAGACGAGUGUUAUUCAUCUUUAAUCGGUUUAAAGGGUACCUAGACGGAAAAUCAAGCUUAAUUAAACUAAGGACUAGUUUUCUAGAGUUUGACAUGAGAAGGUACGAACUAUCAGAGGAGAGAUAAAAUUUGUUGAUACUGGUGGGACGGACAACGGCGAAGGCAAUCUUCUACUAAAAACUGACGUUGAGGGACGAAGCCUUGGGGAGCGAGAAGGAUUAGAUACCCUAGUAGUCCUUGGAGAAAAUUAUGAGUGCCAUAGCUAAAGUGAAAAAGAAGUUCUUUUAAAAGAACUUUGUAUCUGAGCCUUACUUGGAUACAAAGGUCUCGAGUAGC